rnacentral:rRNA from 1 species
UACGUAGGGACCGAGCGUUGUCCGGAUUCAUUGGGCGUAAAGAGCUCGUAGGCGGCCACUCAAGUCGAAUGUGAAACCUCGAGGCUUAACCUCGAGCCUGCAUUUGAUACUGGGCGGCUAGAGUCUGGUAGGGGGAGUCUGGAAUUCCUGGUGUAGCGGUGGAAUGCGCAGAUAUCAGGAGGAACACCGGUGGCGAAGGCGGAUCUCUGGGCCAUUACUGACGCUGAGGAGCGAAAGCGUGGGGAGCGAACAGG